rnacentral:rRNA from 1 species
UACGGGGGGAGCAAGCGUUGUUCGGAUUUACUGGGCGUAAAGGGCGCGUAGGCGGUCAGCACAAGUCAGUUGUGAAAUCUCCGGGCUUAACUCGGAAAGGUCAACUGAUACUGUGCGACUAGAGUGCAGAAGGGGCAACUGGAAUUCUCGGUGUAGCGGUGAAAUGCGUAGAUAUCGAGAGGAACACCUGCGGCGAAGGCGGGUUGCUGGGCUGACACUGACACUGAGGCGCGAAAGCGUGGGGAGCAAACAGG